ensembl:snRNA U6 U6 spliceosomal RNA
GUGUUAGUUCGCUAACACAUACACUAAAGCGGGAGCAGUACAGAGUAGAGUAGCAUGGCCCCUGGUCGCAAGGAUGACACGCAAAUUCGUGAAACACUCCUCUGUUUU